CACACACCUAGUCCACAGCUGCAGGGCCAGCUGAGUCAUGUGGCCAGACCACAGCAGGAACAGGCCCAGGGAGGAAGUGCAGCCCCAGUAAUAAGCCCAUUUCCUGACCUUCUUCCUUUGCUCUGGAAGGUUCUCUUUCUGUCUCUUUGUCUUUUGAUUCUCUGUCUCUCUCAGUGCUUUGUGUUUACUCAAGGUAACAGCCAUGCUUUUGUCCUGGUCCACGUGGCAAGAGCUCAUAACAGCACUGACAUGCAACCAAAGAACCUGGAAGAGAAGAAUGGAAAUUUUUUCCACCCCUACAUCUGGCAACUGUGAAAGGGAUCUUCACUGGCUGGACACCGCUGGUUCUGGGGCUGCUGCUGCUGCUGAGAGAUCCUGGGGCCUCUGACAAAAGCUGGCAGAAGGACAAAAUUGGAAACAUCUGUUAGAUUACCAAGGCUUUGACUGGAAUGACAUAUUUGAGAGAGAUGUGCAUAGAAUCAGAUAUGCCGGACAGCUUCAAGGAACACAGGCUGCCUUUUAUGGAGCCAAUAAUGCCCCUUGGAAAAACAGGCUUGUACCUUGCUUACAGGAUUCCUGACAGUCUAAAUAGGUGAGUAAGGUAGGUC